rnacentral:pre_miRNA from 1 species
UGUGUUUUUUAGUUAAAUUUGACCAUUAACUUUUCAAAAAGAGUUAAAUCAUUUUUUUAAAUGGAAAUAUUGACUAAAACAUUAAUUUUUAACGAUGCUAACGUGGUAGUCCACGUGUACUUCAUGCUGAUAUGACACUAUUUGUCAUGCAAUGCUAACAAAUAAUUUAAAAAUUGUAAAUAUAUUCAAUAAAAUAAAAAAUCCAAAAUCCAAAAAAUUAUAAAAAGUUCAUAAAAAUACACAAAAGUAGCAUGAAGUCCAUGAGAAUUGUCAUGUGAGCUACCAUGUUAAAAAUUUAAUGUUUUAGUUAGUAUUUCUAUUAAAAAAAUUUCAAAUCUUUUUAAAGGUUGAUGGUUAAAUUUGACUCUUUUUAAAA